rnacentral:rRNA from 2 species
UGGGGAAUAUUGCACAAUGGGCGCAAGCCUGAUGCAGCCAUGCCGCGUGUAUGAAGAAGGCCUUCGGGUUGUAAAGUACUUUCAGCGGGGAGGAAGGGAGUAAAGUUAAUACCUUUACUCAUUGACGUUACCCGCAGAAGAAGCACCGGCUAACUCCGUGCCAGCAGCCGCGGUAAUACGGAGGGUGCAAGCGUUAAUCGGAAUUACUGGGCGUAAAGCGCACGCAGGCGGUUUGUUAAGUCAGAUGUGAAAUCCCCGGGCUCAACCUGGGAACUGCAUCUGAUACUGGCAAGCUUGAGUCUCGUAGAGGGGGGUAGAAUUCCAGGUGUAGCGGUGAAAUGCGUAGAGAUCUGGAGGAAUACCGGUGGCGAAGGCGGCCCCCUGGACGAAGACUGACGCUCAGGUGCGAAAGCGUGGGGAGCAAACAG